CUCCAGGGAAUCUUCCCAACCCAGGGAUCAAACCCAGCUAUCCCACAUUGCAGGUGUAUUCUUUACCAGCUGAGCCGCAAGGGAAGCCCUAGAUACUGGAGUGGGUAGCCUAUCCAUUCUCCUGCAGGUCUUCCUGACCCAGGAAUCAAACUGGGGACUCCUGCAUUGCAGGUGGAUUCUUUACCAAACUGAGCUAUCAGGGAAGCCCCUUAAAAAAGGCUGAGUGCUGAAGAAUUGAUGCUUUCAAAUUGUGGUGCUGGAGAAGACUCUUGAGAGUCCAUUGGACUGCAAAGAGAUCAAACCAGUCAAUCCUAAAGGAAAUCAACUCAACUGAUUCUAAAGGAAAUCAACCCAAGACAUUAAUUGGAUUCUUUGGCCACCUGAUCCGAAGAGCCAACUCAUUGGAAAAGACCCUGAUGCUGGGAAAGAUUGAAGGCAAAUGGAGAAGGGAGCAACGGAGGAUGAGAUGGUUAGAUAGCAUCAUCCAUUCAAUGGACAUGAAUCUGAGCAAACUUUGGUAGACUUUGAAGGACAGGGAAGACUGGCAUGCUGCAAUCCGUGGGGUCACAGAGUCUGACACAGUCUAGCAACUGAACACACACACACACACACACACACACACACACACACACACACACACUAACUGACUGCAAGCUCACCAUCUUGGAAAAGUUUAGUUCAUUGUUUCAGGUCUUGAAAAAAAUUUAAGACUCAAAAUGGUUAAUAAAAUAACACACAUGCAUUAUUUCAACAUAGGAUGAAAAGUGUUUAUUCUGUUAUAUUAGCUUCAACAUAUUUCCACAAAAGAAAUGAAAUUAUUAAGAAUGUAUUUGAUCUUCAUCACUCUACUUAUCCCUGAACUAUCCAGAGGCCACCACCAUCAAAACUUUGUGUAUCCAAUCUGUUGAUGCUUUUUCAUUUUUAUAUCACACAUAUAUUGUCACUAUCAAAACAUUGCAUAUUUCAAAUUUCCAAAAGUACUAACAUUGUGUGGUAUCAUUUGCAAUUUGGUUUUCUUUUUCAUUCCAUAUUACAUUUUUGAAACCCAUUCAUGUUGAUAUAUGUCACCUGUAAGAAUAUACAUUUGAUCACCCAUUCUCCUUUUGAUAUUGAUUUACAAGUUUCUGAUAUUUCACUAUUAUAAAUUGCUUUAUAAUAAACAUUCUUCAUUUUCAUUUUUGGCUGUGCUGGAUCUCAGCUGUUUUUGCAUGGGCUUUCUCUGGUUGUGGUGAGCAGUGGCUGCUCUUCAUUGCAGUGCGCAGGCUUCUCAUUGUGGUGGCUUCUCUUGUUUCAGGGGACGGACUCCAGAUGCAUCGUCUUCAGUAAUCGCAGCACACAGGCUCAGCGGUGGCGGCCCACAGGCUCUAGAGCGCAGGCUCAGCGGUUGCUCCUGAGCACGUGGAAUCUUCCGAAUCUGCAUUGGUAGGCAGAUUUCUAUCCACCGUGCCAGCAGGGAAGUCCUAUAAUAAACAUCUGAUUCAAAUCCUUAUGAGAUGUGUGGAAGGGCCUCUAGUAUGUAGAUGUAUGAGGAGAAUUGCUAAGGCACAGAGAGAAGCAUCUUCAUCUUUAUAUCAUCAAACUGUAAAGUGGUCUUUAGACUGUAUAUUUUCCCCAGGAUAUUAG
ensembl:lncRNA